rnacentral:rRNA from 1 species
AGAGUUUGAUCAUGGCUCAGGAUGAACGCUAGCUACAGGCUUAACACAUGCAAGUCGAGGGGAAACGACAUCGAAAGCUUGCUUUUGAUGGGCGUCGACCGGCGCACGGGUGAGUAACGCGUAUCCAACCUGCCCAUCACUUGGGGAUAACCUUGCGAAAGUAAGACUAAUACCCAAUGAUAUCUCUAGAAGGCAUCUGAAAGAGAUUAAAGAUUUAUCGGUGAUGGAUGGGGAUGCGUCUGAUUAGCUUGUUGGCGGGGUAAUGGCCCACCAAAGCAACGAUCAGUAGGGGUUCUGGAGAGGAGGGUCCCCCANAUUGGAACUGAGACACGGUCCAAACUCCUACGGGAGCA